GCUUGCUUAGUAUUUUUAAACAUAUUGAAUUAGUGGCCAGCAUUUAAAUAUAGUGAGCCCUCAUACAAAAGACCACAUUUCUGGCUACUCUUGUAAUUCAGUCAGAAGAUCUAGAACACUGGACCAGCCUUAGAAGAGGAAGAAUAGCCUAGAAUGGUGAUUCUCAGAGUGUCCCUGGAUCACCUGGGAACUUUUUAAAGAUGCAUUUUCUCUGUCCUUCCUCCUCUAGUGACUGAAUUGGCCCUGACCAUUUUUAUUUUAACAAGCCCUUCCACACUAAAAUUUUAUUUUAACAACCAGUUCAGAAUCACUUGAAGUGAUUCUGAUGCACCCCAAACCUUGAGAACCGCUCAUCGCCCUUAGUGGAUAAAGAAGGCUGAUCGGCUUUGGAAAUAGAAUGUCAGGCUUUCAAUUCUGGUUUUGCCGCUUCCUAGCUCUGUGGGGUUAGACAAACUACUUAAUCUCAUUGUGACUCUGUGUGCUCAUUUAUAACCUGGGGAUGAUAAUAGGACCUUCCUGCUAGGGUUAUGAGGAUUAAAUGAGUUCAUAUGUGUAAAGUACUUAGACCCUUAGAGUGAUAACAUAACAAAGGUUACUUGCUGUUAACGUCAGCUGAGGCUUAGCAAGCAGGUGCCUGCUUAAGAUGGAACCUUUGCUGGAUUGCUACUUUAUUAGGACACCAUCCAGCACGCUUUCCUUUUUCAUGUGACCUGCCUUGUCCCUGUGGGCUUUCAGGUUGUCAUGCCCGAUGAUGUGAGAUGGCAUGCCCAGUUGUCAGCAAUGAUUCCCGUACCCACCCAUUGUAGAGUACUAACAUAUAUUGUGUACCUACUGUGUACCAAGCACUACACGAGGCCCUUAGCAUACUUUCAUACUUUAUUCAUUUCUACUCCCCAACAGCUCAACAAGGUUAAUAUUGUUAUUCUCACUUCACAGAUGAAGAACUGAAGACUCAGAGAGGUUAAAUAAUUUGUUUAAACACACACAGCUGGUAAGUGGCAGAGCAAGCAUCAAACCCAGGUAUCAAACUCUGUUUUGUUUUCUUUUCAUCCGUGUUUCCAAAAUAUGGAACACAUGCCACAGUAGCUUCCAGAUGAUUUUAUAUGGCAUCGAGAUGGUUUUAGGUGGUGAAGAAGGUGGUUUUAGUUGGUAUAAAAAUUCUGCAUUAAAUUAAACAAAGUACACAGAAAAAAGUUAAUAUACUUUAAGUUCUCCCACAAACUUGAGGGGAAAGUCUGAGUUGGUGCUGAUGAGUUUUUUUUUUUCCUUUUACAUAAAUUCCAGUGCAAUAAUAAUAUUUAAGAUUAUGCAUUUUAGUUACAUUAAUUGAAGGUGUCUUUUUAAGAGACUGUAUAAACAAACUAGGAAAAGAAAUUCUAUAUUUAAAUUGGCACUUAGGAGCAUCUAGAAAGGUUUUCCUUUAUUUUGAAACAUAAUUGAAUUAAAUGCCAAAUAUUUUUAUUUAAUCAUUUCUAAUGGAACUUGUAUUAAAAUAGUUUGUCAACAGUAACCAGCACAGGAUAUGGCAUAAAGUAAGUGGUCAGUAGAGGUUUUCCUGAACUAAAGUGAUUCGUAUACUCUCGAGCCUUUUCAAAUGACACAUAUCUUUUAGUUUGAUCUUGAUUUAGAAUUACAAGAUUGUUAACAACUCUCUAUUACCUGUAAUCUCCUUAAAAAAAAAAAAAAAGAGAACCAAAGGCCCAAAGCCUUUGAUAAACAGGGGUGUCUAGAAAAAUUGAAUAAGUUGUCAAAAUUUAAUUUUUACAAGUUAUAUUUAUGGCAAGUAAAAAUGGUUUUCAUAUAUAAUAAUUUAUUACAUAAAACUUUCUAUUCAAAUAGUUUUCUUAAUAAAACCAAAGCCAGUUAAAACUAUGCUCAAUAAAUAAUAUUAAGGGUGGUCUGCAGAUACGGCAUAUGUCGCGAAGAUGGGAUGGCAAUGCCAGAUGUGUGGAAACUGCUGCUGUUGUCAUAAGAAGGAAGGAUAGCAAUGGCUGGCAUUCCACCCAGAGAGAGUCCUGUAGUCCUCUGCAUAAACCUCAGAGGGAGCUGUCCUCAACAGCUUGCCAUUAAUGUGACAGCCACUUCCUGGUAAAAAGUCAAGUCCUGACAGAGGAAGGUUAGAGAAGGUGUGAGUCUAUCAACUGAAGACAGUGAGCUAAAUCAGCAUUUUAGACAUUGGAGCUCAGAUCCUACUCUUCAGGGGCAGAAACCAUGGCCUUUUGGUUCAGUGACUCUCUGUAGAAAAGCAGUACCCACAAGUAGAUGUUUAAAUUGACAAAUGGAUCCUGAUGGGGAAGCAGUGCUGGGGGAAAGGGGCAGAUGGUGUAGAGUAUCAGUCUGUGGUCUCACUUCUUCUUAUAACUUUACAUCUGCUGCCCCAACUCUUUGAAAAAGAAAAGCGCAUCCUCAGGAAUUGUCUCCCAGAAAAUGAGCCACUUGCCUUUUAGUUGAGGUCUUUGGGGUGGAUCAAGGGAGGCCUGAAUUGGCUUCCUGGGUCUCUCAAUUACCAGCAUUUUGACCUUGAGCAAGUCACUUAAUCUCUUGUUAUCUGUAAAAUGGGAAGGGUAUAUUAGAUGUGAAUUAGGCUGAUGUAAGAAAGCAAAAGAUGUUACACAGAACCUGGUGUACAGUGGGUAUGACUAUUGUUGAAGAUGGAGGUAAAGUUGGGGAAAGGAAUGCAAACAUUGUGUUCUUCCUACCUAAAACUCUGAAAUCCUGCACGUUGUCUUGGGAUAACCAUUUGAUUGCGUAUUAGUGGAGGUUGUUCAGAGAAACAAGACCAAUAGGAUAUGUAUACACACAUAAAUGUGUAGAGAAAGAUAUUUAUUUUAAGGAAUUGGCUCAUGUGAUUAUGGAGGCUGGCAAGUCCGAAAUCUGCAGAAUUAGCUAGCAGGCUGGAGAACCAGGGAAGAGUUGUAGUUUGAGACAAAGUGGUCUGCUGGCAGAAUUCCCUCUUCUUAGGAGGAGGUCAGUCUUUCUCUUUUUAAGGUCUUCAAUGGAUUGGAUGAGGCCGAUACACAUUAUGGAAAAUAGUAUGCUUUACUCAAAGUCCAUCGAUAUAAAUGUUAACUCAUCAAAAAAAAAAUACCUUCACAGAGCCAUGUAGCAUAAUAUUUGACCAAAUAUCUGGGUACCGUGGUCUAGGCAAGUUGACACAUAAAAUUAACCAUCACAGACUGUGUUGCUGUCACUGGGUGACCAUUAAGGGAAGCACUGGGGGAACUCUACUGAUUGCCUUCCAUGUUAAGCAGAAUUCUUUAUAUUGCGAGGGGCAGAACACUAAUACAAACUGGUUUAAGUUGGGGGGAAGGACAGAGGAGGCACAAGAGGAGUUACGAACAAAGUAGCUCAAACUGUCAGGGAUUCUAGCUUCUAGACCCAGAGUCCCAUAUGUUACCAUGGGAUAAAACCUCCUCUCUUAUCUGCAUUAUCAGGCAAGUACUUUUUUGUGCUAGCUAGAUUGCUGACAGCUGCUCUUGGCUUAAAAUCUUCAUAGAUUCUUCUUCUUCUUUGAACUUCCAACGGAAAUCCUGAGCCUGAAUCUCACUGGCCCAGUUGGGUCAUGUGCUCACCCCUGAACUAAUCAAGAUGUGAAAGAAAAUGAACGCACUGAUUGGCUGAGACCAGGGUCACGGGACCUCCCUUGGCGCUGAGCUUCAGCCCCACCCAAGCCAAGUGGACUGACGCAGAGAAAGAGCAUUUUCCCUUGGAAAAUCAGACAGCUAUUUCCAGGAAUAGGACAGGAUGCUGGACAGGCUAAAUCAUCAUGUGACUGCUCCUGCCUCCUGUACAUGUCCCUUUUCUCCUCCCUGCCUGUUCCAUUCCCCUCCUUUUUCUCUUUUUUCCUCCUUUCUCCUCAGCAGCACAUAAACCACUUUCUAUCCCUUAAAAACCUGGCUUCUUCUUUCCUCAUCUGAAACUCCCAAUUCGUCUAAGAAAGCAGAUGCUUCAGAGGCAAGCUGCCUCUGAGAGCAGUUUCGAGCCUGAUUCUGUACGUGUGAUCAUUGCCCAGGGACAAUUUGGUCCUGGCUGAUCAGUCAGUGCCUUGCGCUUACGUUCCCAGUGUGGGAGGAAGGAACACAGAGUGACUUGAUACUAACUGACGCUGGAAGGAAGAAGAGUGAUGCUUCUUGUCUCCUUUCUUUGUCUAUCUACUAGGCCAGAGGUCUAGAGUAGAAAGUUUAGAAGGGAAAAUGGAGACUUAUCUCUGAGUUGCAGCAAACAGAAAGAAAUCUCAUGCUAGAAAGAUUAAAAAGUAGGGGGAAAAGCUUCCUGCAAACACUUUAGACAUAAUUGUAUACGUGUGCACGCACACACACACAUUCACUUGGCCCUGGAACAACACAGGUUUGAACUUUGCAGGUUAUAGGAAGAUUUUCUUCUGCCUUCUCCAUCCCUCAGACAAGAAUAACCCAUCCUCUUCCUCCUCCUCC
rnacentral:lncRNA from 1 species